rnacentral:rRNA from 1 species
AGAGUUUGAUCCUGGCUCAGGACGAACGCUGGCGGCGUGCCUAACACAUGCAAGUCGAGCGGAGUCAGUAGCAAUACUGACUUAGCGGCGGACGGGUGAGUAACGCGUGGGCAACCUGCCCUUCAGAGGGGGAUAACAGUGCGAAAGUACUGCUAAUACCGCAUAACGUUCAGUUAUCGCAUGAUGACUGAACCAAAGGAGAAAUCCGCUGAAGGAUGGGCCCGCGUCUGAUUAGCUAGUUGGUGAGGUAAAAGCUUACCAAGGCGACGAUCAGUAGCCGAUCUGAGAGGAUGACCGGCCACACUGGAACUGAGACACGGUCCAGACUCCUACGGGAGGCAGCAGUGGGGAAUAUUGCACAAUGGGGGAAACCCUGAUGCAGCAACGCCGCGUGAAGGAAGAAGGUCUUCGGAUUGUAAACUUCUUUGAUGAGGGACGAAAAAAAUGACGGUACCUCAAAAACAAGCCACGGCUAACUACGUGCCAGCAGCCGCGGUAAUACGUAGGUGGCGAGCGUUGUCCGGAAUUAUUGGGCGUAAAGGGCGCGUAGGCGGUCAUUUAAGUCAGAUGUGAAAUUCCGAGGCUUAACUUCGGGCGUGCAUUUGAAACUGGGUGGCUAGAGUGCAGGAGAGGUAAGUGGAAUUCCUAGUGUAGCGGUGAAAUGCGUAGAUAUUAGGAGGAACACCAGUGGCGAAGGCGACUUACUGGACUGUAACUGACGCUGAGGCGCGAAAGCGUGGGGAGCAAACAGGAUUAGAUACCCUGGUAGUCCACGCUGUAAACGAUGGAUACUAGGUGUG